rnacentral:rRNA from 1 species
AUUGAACGCUGGCGGCAGGCCUAACACAUGCAAGUCGAGCGGAUGAAGGGAGCUUGCUCCUGGAUUCAGCGGCGGACGGGUGAGUAAUGCCUAGGAAUCUGCCUGGUAGUGGGGGAUAACGUCCGGAAACGGGCGCUAAUACCGCAUACGUCCUGAGGGAGAAAGCGGGGGAUCUUCGGACCUCACGCUAUCAGAUGAGCCUAGGUCGGAUUAGCUAGUUGGUGGGGUAAAGGCCUACCAAGGCGACGAUCCGUAACUGGUCUGAGAGGAUGAUCAGUCACACUGGAACUGAGACACGGUCCAGACUCCUACGGGAGGCAGCAGUGGGGAAUAUUGGACAAUGGGCGAAAGCCUGAUCCAGCCAUGCCGCGUGUGUGAAGAAGGUCUUCGGAUUGUAAAGCGCUUUAAGUUGGGAGGAAGGGCAGUAAGUUAAUACCUUGCUGUUUUGACGUUACCAACAGAAUAAGCACCGGCUAACUUCGUG